CGGGGGGAGCAAGCGUUGUUCGGAUUUACUGGGUGUAAAGGGCGCGUAGGCGGGAGAGCAAGUCAGAUGUGAAAUACCGUGGCUUAACCACGGGGCUGCAUCUGAAACUGUUUUUCUUGAGUGUCGGAGAGGAGAGUGGAAUUCCCAGUGUAGCGGUGAAAUGCGUAGAUAUUGGGAGGAACACCAGUGGCGAAGGCGACUUUCUGGACGAUAACUGACGCUGAGGCGCGAAAGCGUGGGGAGCAAACAGGAUUAGAUACCCUGGUAGUCCACGCUGUAAACGAUGGAUACUAGGUGUGGGAGGUAUCGACCCCUUCCGUGCCGGAGUUAACACAAUAAGUAUCCCACCUGGGGAGUACGGCCGCAAGGUUG
rnacentral:rRNA from 1 species